rnacentral:rRNA from 1 species
UACAUGCAAGUCAACUGAAGCACCGGUAGUAAUACUGGUGUGGAGGGUGGCGCACGGGUGAGUAACACGUAGGUAAUCUGCCUUCAGGUCUGACAUAACCCCGAGAAAAUUGGGGCUAAUAGCAGAUGAUGCAGCGGCUUGACAUCAAGACAGUUGUUAAAGCUUCGGCGCCUGAAGAUGAGCCUGCGUCUGAUUAGCUAGUUGGCGGAGUAAUGGCCCACCAAGGCUACGAUCAGUAACUGGUCUGAGAGGAUGAUCAGUCACACUGGAACUGAGACACGGUCCAGACUCCUACGGGAGGCAGCAGUAAGGAAUAUUGCUCAAUGGGAGAAAUCCUGAAGCAGCAACGCCGCGUGAGGGAUGAAGGGCUUUUGCUCGUAAACCUCUGUAGUGAGGGAAAAAAUUUCCACUCUGUGGAAUAUGAUGGUACCUCAAAAGUAAGCCCCGGCUAACUACGUG